rnacentral:rRNA from 1 species
GACGAACGCUGGCGGCGUGCCUAAUACAUGCAAGUAGAACGCUGAAGGAGGAGCUUGCUUCUCUGGAUGAGUUGCGAACGGGUGAGUAACGCGUAGGUAACCUGCCUGGUAGCGGGGGAUAACUAUUGGAAACGAUAGCUAAUACCGCAUAAGAGUAGAUGUUGCAUGACAUUUGCUUAAAAGGUGCAAUUGCAUCACUACCAGAUGGACCUGCGUUGUAUUAGCUAGUUGGUGAGGUAACGGCUCACCAAGGCAACGAUACAUAGCCGACCUGAGAGGGUGAUCGGCCACACUGGGACUGAGACACGGCCCAGACUCCUACGGGAGGCAGCAGUAGGGAAUCUUCGGCAAUAGACGGAAGUCUGACCGAGCAACGCCGCGUGAGUGAAGAAGGUUUUCGGAUCGUAAAGCUCUGUUGUAAGAGAAGAACGAGUGUGAGAGUGGAAAGUUCACACUGUGACGGUAGCUUACCAGAAAGGGACGGCUAACUACGUG